rnacentral:lncRNA from 1 species
UAAAUUCGCUUCAUAUUAAACUUCUUUUUGUAACAAAAUCAUCAAAAUAACUGAUGGUUAAAAACUGAAGGCAUUAAGAAAGUACGUAAAUGAUCAUGGUGUCAUUCAUUCCUUUCGCUCCUUACAAUUUUUUUUGGCUGAAAUGGGAAUUGCUUUUGCUAGAGAAAACAACAAAAGCCACACCAGAAAGAUAGAAGACAGAUGGAAUGGGCUCUCCAAUGAGUUAAUGGGGAUGGACCUAUGUUGCAUGGACUCACCAAAAUGUUUCCGCUCCUGUCUACUUUUGGAGGACCCAACAUACACCCGGCAACAUUUUCGGACAGUCGGAGCAACACAGUGAUGGACUUAUACAUGGAAAGCAUUGUUAGGAUUAUGAUUCCUACUAAAGACAACAACCUUCAUUUGAAUAAUCGGAUUUACA